rnacentral:sRNA from 1 species
ACCCCGGAUAGGCUGACGGGCCGAAAAGCGGGCUUCCCUGGCCCGCCCUCCGGGGUUCCUUUUCAGGGG